AAUAGAUACCCUGGUAGUCCAUGCCGUAAACGUUGGGCGCUAGGUGUGGGGUCCAUUCCACGGGUUCCGUGCCGCAGCUAACGCAUUAAGCGCCCCGCCUGGGGAGUACGGCCGCAAGGCUAAAACUCAAAGGAAUUGACGGGGGGCCCGCACAAGCGGCGGAGCAUGUGGAUUAAUUCGAUGCAACGCGAAGAACCUUACCUGGGUUUGACAUGCACCUGACGCGUCCAGAGAUGGGCGUUCCCUUGUGGUAGGUGUGCAGGUGGUGCAUGGCUGUCGUCAGCUCGUGUCGUGAGAUGUUGGGUUAAGUCCCGCAACGAGCGCAACCCUUGUCCUAUGUUGCCAGCACGUAAUGGUGGGGACUCAUGGGAGACUGCCGGGGUCAACUCGGAGGAAGGUGGGGAUGACGUCAAGUCAUCAUGCCCCUUAUGUCCAGGGCUUCACGACAUGCUACAAUGGCCGGUUACAGAGGGCUGCGAAACCGUGAGGUGGAGCGAAUCUCGUAAAGCCGGUCUCAGUUCGGAUCGGGGUC
rnacentral:rRNA from 1 species